GCGGGUAUAGCUUAAUGGUAAAGCACCUGCCUUCCAAGCAGGCUAUCUCGGUUCGAUCCCGUGUACCCGCUCCA
rnacentral:tRNA from 1 species